GGGCGCUUGGUCUAGGGGUAUGAUUUUCGCUUCGCAUCUGGCUUUGGCCCUCAUUCAGGGCUAUUAGCAUGCGCUUGCUUGUGAAAGGUCGUGGGUUCAAUUCCCACAGUGUCCA
rnacentral:tRNA from 1 species